GACGAAGGGGGCUAGCGUUGUUCGGAAUUACUGGGCGUAAAGCGCGUGUAGGCGGUUGUUCAAGUCAGGUGUGAAAGCCUUGAGCUCAACUCAAGAAAUGCACUUGAUACUGGAUGACUAGAGGACCGGAGAGGAUAGUGGAAUUCCCAGUGUAGUGGUGAAAUACGUAGAUAUCGCUUGGAACGCCGACGGUGAAAACAGCUCGCUGGGGACUCGCUGACGCUGAGACACGAAAGCCAGGGGAGCGAACGGG
rnacentral:rRNA from 1 species